GAAUAAAAUAUCCUACUUUGGAAGUUUAAAAUUGGCUAGUUUACAUCUAAAAGUUAAUUGAAGUUCAACAUUGUAACUUAUGCUUAAGUUUGAGUUGGUUUGAUGUUAGGAGAAUGUAUUGACUGUUUUGUUGUUGUGUUUUGCAGUGAUGGCCGGCCGUAAGAGAACCAAGACCUUUGAUGAGGGAACUUCUUCAUCCGGUGGUGUACCGGUGAAGUGGCAGCAACCGUGCAGCCUACUGGACAUCGAGGAUAGAUUAUUCCGUCAGGAUUGGGAUUGGUCCCGAUAUAAUGAUGCAAAUUUUGGGGCUCGAUGAGAAGAAGACCAAAGCAAGUCAUUGCAUUGUUUCAACCAUAAACAAAGAGAGGUUAAGUAGUGGAGGUACAAAAUGGCGCAAAUAAAGAGUACAAUAGACAAGGAUUAUGUCUGUGAGUGAUUGGUAAAUUCUGAAGAAUUCUGACAAAUCAGAAUUACACAGAAAUUUGAGAGAUUAGGGUGGGAACGCGUGCUUGAUUGGUGUGAAGACGCGACCCAAAGGGUUUAUCUGAAGGCAGUUACAGAUUGGUUGUGAAGACGCGACCCAAAGGGUUUAUCUGGCAUUCACAUCUGGUUCAAGCGGAUCCGGUUAACCUUAUUGAGUUAACUUUGCCAAAUUACACAACUGGCGGGUACAACUGGAUUCAUUUAUCGGUUGAAGGCAAGAUCUUGUAGGACAUUUUGCUAGAGAAUGUUAUGGUCGGAUUAGGAGAUCGAGGAAAGUUUCGGGUUUGGGAUCUUCGGGUGCUUCAUUCACUUCUGUAUGGGGAGACGAAAUAAUCAUGGCGGCAUAUCACCAUGAUGAAUAUUUGGGAUACUCGGAACUAUUUUAAGCGAAAAAUGAUUUCAUAUGUCCACUUAAUCGGUGCCGUGAUCGUGCAACAAAACCGUUUGCUCGAGAAUUCACUUUGGAUGGUCAAACCCAUUGAUGACUUUGAUUUUACGAAAAUGAGGAACGGGUCACAUAUUUAUGUGGAGGCGGUUGGUCAAGGAUAUAAAGUUGUAGAUCAGGACUUGGGGAUCCAAUAUGUGUAUCCCGAGCAAGGUAGUGAUGAUGAAGAUAUGGAAGAAGGGAAUGAAGAAGAAGAAGCGGAAGAAGAAGCGGGGCAAAGGCCCGGAAGGUAAAGGUUUGCGAGGCGCCAGAAUGAAGCAUCAAAAAAUGUGGCACAGUUUAUGGUGAAUAGGCGGAGGGUAGCCUAUGAGAGCUAUAACCUUGGACAACAAGAUAUUUAUGACAACGUGUCCACGGUUAUGGGAGACGCAAGGGAGAGAGAGAGAGAGGAGAGAAGGAGAGAAGGUUAAAGGCUGAGGAAGAAUGGAGAACUCAGCAACAGGAGUGAUGGGCUAUGCAGCAAUCCCACUGGGAACAACAAGAACUCCACCAUGUGCAGGAGUUGUCUCGUCGGCAGGCCUGGGAGGAAGAACAAGAACGCAUGCGGUUGAGUAGAACCAGCUGGAAGACAGGCGUUGGAGGACGAUGGGCAUAGCCCAACAAAUGGCAGUUAAUAACGUCCAUAUUCUUCAUGACCAGGAGCGCUAUCAAAGGGAUUAUGAGGCGGGGCGACCUUUUCAGCAAUUUACCCCGUGGACCAGAUAUGAAGAUCUUCCCGUCCCGACUGGAUCUUCUCAACCGGCUCCUGGAUGGCCCCAAGGAGUCGCAUCUAACUUUCUCCCAAUAUAGUUUUAGCAACCAGCCGAAGGGGAACAAGGGCCCCUUGAUGAUUUUCACAAGAUGAUGUCGGCCCUAACCGAUUACCCCUACCAGCCAUACCCGCCAGUGGAUCUGAAUGAAAGAUAUCAGAGAUAAGGGUGAGGUGUGUUCCCUAUAUAACCUCACGAGACCUCCUCGUCCCCCGAGCUAUCGGGAGGUUUAAAGGGCUUGCGUGCAUAUGCUAAAUGACGCCGUGAUUCCUACGAAAGUGAGUUAGGUUUGUUGUUGUUGUAAAUUUAUUUUCCACAAGAAAAAUCAAAGUUAAAUAAAAAUAUGACUUGGUAAGUUCUUUAUUAAAAAUGGUAAAAAAUGGUUAACUAAUAAGUUUUGAUGGUUAUGAGAAGCUUGCUUCUACACGAGGAUUAAGACUUGUAGGUACACUAUGUUCACGCGGACGACCAUUUUCAUUAAAGAAUAAGGAGCACAUGAGGAACAAGCGACAACCAGGUGCAUAUGUUUCUUUUUAGCUUUGAUUAGUAGUUAGCUUAAUAAGUGGAUUGUAUUGUGUACAUUAUUGGCCGAAGUGAAAUUUGGGAAGUUGGUCGUGUCACAUCCCUUAUUCUAUUUAAAAGCCACAUUCUUACACAUUGAGGACAAUGUUGACCUCAAGUGUGGGGAUGAGGGAAAAAUUUCAAAAUGUAUUUUUUCAAGCAAUCUAAAAAGCACAAGUAGCUAUGUUAAUAAGGGAUGGCAUAACCCAUUUGGUCUAUUGUCAUGGUCAAGUUCGAAUUGUUAACAUGACGGGUAUUUAGCGGGUGAUUAUUUGAGAAUUUUAAGAAACUGAUGUAUUUUGCAUAUCACAUAUCAUACGCUUUUACGUGAGAUUUUAAGCCACUUUUACACAUUAUAGAUAUAUAUUUCUUGUUUGAGUGUGCCAUUAGUAACGCAUUGUAGAACUUGCAACUUUUGAUGCGUUUGAGACCAUAGACCGAAUACGAGCACGAGAAUGAUUAAGGCAUUAGGUAAACUUUUUCUUUUUACACCAUUUAUCUUAUCCUCACCCAAAAUCAAUCCCUUAGUCGCCAAAUUUGAGCCUAAACCUUUCGUUUGACCAACCCAUCUAGCCUUUGACCGUUAAACCUUUUUUUUUUUAAUCCGUGUGAUGAAAAUUCAAUUUUAGGACUAGUUUGUUUUGUAUAGUUUUGUUUAUAUUCAAAAAAAGAUCAUGAAAAAUAGCAGAAAAUUGUGGUGAAAAAGCACAAAAAGAUGCAUUGUUAGUUUGUUGAAUAAAAGGCGAAAAUGUUGCCUUGUAGUUUGAUGUUCAUAGUGAAGAAAUAUGAAAUGAACUGUUUUUAUUCCUUUGUUUGAGAAUAUCAAUGACCCUUAUAUAACCAAAGUUACAACCGACAUUCCUUCAAAGAAGGAAACUAAAUCACUCAAAUCAAAUCAAUAUAAAUAUAAUAUCGUUUCCACUAAUAUUCCCCCUCAGUUGGAACGUGGGUAAACUGAGACGUUCAAGCUGGAUCUGAAUGAUUCAAAUAAAUAUCGCGGAAGGCCUUUAGUAAAGAUGUCAGCAUAUUGAGCAGAAGACGGCACGUGUAGGACCCGAAUAUGACCAAUCUGCACCUUUUCACGCACGAAGUGGAUAUCCAUUUCCACGUGUUUAGUACGUUGAUGUUGCACGGGGUUACCGGAUAGGUAAAUUGCAGAGACGUUAUCACAGUAGACUAUAGUAGCCUUUUGAACUGGAACCUUUAAUUCAAGAAGCAGAUUGCGAACCCAUGUUGCUUCUGCCACCGCAUUGGCCACCCCUCUGUAUUCAGCCUCGGCACUUGAUCUCGGAAUGGUCGGCUGUCGUUUGGAUGACCAAGAGAUAAGAUUAUCUCCAAGAAAGAUGUAGUAUCCGGAUGUGGAUCGGCGAGUAUCCGGGCACCCGCCCCAGUCAGCGUCAGAAUAAGCAGUCAACGAAUGAUUUGGGGAAGCUGAUAAGCGAAGACCAAGAUCUAUAGUGCCAUGGAUGUAUCGUAAGACUCUUUUAAGGAAGGCGAAAUGAGGUUCCCUUGGGGCGUGCAUGAACAGGCAAAUUUGUUGGAUGGCAUAAGAGAUGUCGGGCCGAGUGAUAGUAAGGUACUGCAACGCACCGGCAAGACUACGAUAUAAAUUUCCGUCAGGAAGAAGAUCCCCUUCAGUAGCAGUAAGUUUAGAGUUUGUAUCAACAGGUGUGUGACAAGGCUUGCAAGCUGUCAUGUUUGCCCGAUGAAGGAUGUCUCGGGCGUAUUGUGAUUGACCAAGAAUUAAGGAGUUAUGAUCUCGAGUUACUGUAAUGCCAAGAAAAUGAUGAAGUGGCCCCAUGUCGGACAUAGCAAACUCAGUGGAUAAACUGGUGAGGAGUUGUCUGAGUAGACUUUGAUUAUUUGCGGUAAGAACAAUAUCGUCAACAUAGAGUAGGAGAUAUGCUAGUUGUUCGCCACGUUGGUAAAUAAACAGUGAUGAAUCACACAAACUGCUAUGGAACCCUAAGGAAUGUAGGAACGUAGAGAACCGAGUAUACCAAGCUCGGGGUGCUUGCUUGAGCCCAUAAAGUGAUUUUCGUAAACGACAAACAUGAUUCGGAUAUGCAGGGUCGCUAAAACCGGGUGGUUGAUACAUGUAUACCGUCUCUUGAAGGUUGCCGUGUAGAAAUGCAUUUUUUACAUCCAAUUGAUGUAUUGGCCAUGACCGUGAAACAGCUAAUGAUAGGACAGUGCGAAUAGUAGCCAGUUUAACAACCGGACUAAAUGUUUCGGUGCAAUCAAUGCCGACUGUUUGCGACUUCCCGUUACAUACAAGGCGCGCUUUAUACCUAUCCAAUGUGCCAUCUGCUUUAAAUUUGUGGCGAAACAACCACAUCGAGCGAAUGAUCGGAUACUCAAGGGGUUUUGGAACCAACUCCCAAGUGUUAUUAACCUGUAAUGCACUAAAUUCAUCGUUCAUGGCACGAAGCCAGUUAUGGUCCGAUAAGGCUUUCGAGUACGAGGUAGGGUGUGGGUGGCGGGUUCCACUGAUGUGGAUAUUGGGCUUGAGUAGGCGGGUUAGGGGUGUAAGGUGUUUGGGCCAUCAAUGGGUGCUGUUGUUGGGCUGAACUCUGUCCCCAAGGUGAGUGCCCGGUAGACCCAUUUGACCGUCCACCCCUCGUGGAAGUCCGUCCACCACGAGACUGUUGACCACGUCCUCUAGCCGCUUUUACCGGGUCAUAAUUUCUCCCCCUGUACCCGUUGGGAUACGGCGAGCGAGCCGAGUCAGAGAAGUUGUUGUUGUAGUUACCCGGUUGUGCCUGUGAGAGGAGGACAUGGUCGCGAUUUGAACUGGUUCUGGCCGAUUGACGUUCUUGUUCUUGUUCUGCUUCAAUCAUUCCCCUGGCAUCAUCCCAUGACGGGCAACUUUGAUUGAUAAUGGCCCCAAUGGUGUCGUACUCUGCCGGUAGUCCACGAACCAUCUGGAUGACGAGACGGCUGUCGGUGACAGGCUGGUCAACGUCACCAAGUUGGCCGGCGAUGUCUUUCAAAGUUUGACAGUAGUCGUCAAACGAGGCUUGAGACGAAAGGGUUGUGUUGUUGAAUUUUUGUUCUAACGUGGCAGCACGAGCAUGUUUGUUAUUGAUGAAAAUGUCUUGUAUUUUAACCCACGCCGAUCGGGCCGUGAUGUCGGUGUCAAGAACCCGAGCAAGGACGUCGUCAGAGAGUGUGCUGUAAAUCCAUUGAAGGAUCAAUGCAUCGAGUUCGGACCACGCACUGUACGAUGGAUCUGAUUCGGCCGGUGGGUUGCUUCCAUCAAUAUGAUGAAGAACUUUGUAUGCACGGACAUGGAGUUUGAAUAACUUGACCCAUGACGAAUAUGUAACUUUCUUGCCGUCAAGGGUACGUAUCUUAGUAUUGAGAUUAGUGACGGAGUAGGCUGGAUGUAAGGUUUGUUUUUCAGGAAAGGUUUUGGAGUUUUCAUCGGAUUUGGUGGAGUUUUCGGCCUCAUCACCCAUGGUGGCUGGCGUCAAAACAAAGAAAAGAAAAAAAAACUAGGGUUUAGGUUUUGCUCUGAUUACCAUGAAGAAAUAUGAAAUGAACUGUUUUUAUUCCUUUGUUUGAGAAUAUCAAUGACCCUUAUAUAACCAAAGUUACAACCGACAUUCCUUCACAGAAGGAAACUAAAUCACUCAAAUCAAAUCAAUAUAAAUAUAAUAUCGUUUCCACUAAUACAUAGUUAGUUUGUUUAGUAGUCUUUGUAAUAAAAAUAAAAUUUUCAUCACCUUGGCAACUUUCAAAAUAUCCUAUUCCACACCUUUAAACUAGCCCCGUUACAACCCUUAAAGACCUUUUGACUUGUGCUUAGUAUUUGUGUUUGGUGGUAGAGAAUGAUUGAGUUGCAAGCUUAUGCGGGUACGUGUUCUAAUCGGUUUGAGUGAUCAUUUGAAACAUUCUAAUACAUCAUAAUUAGCUAACUUUUUAAACCGAGUGGAGAGAACAUUGUGAAGGAUGUGUAUGAUAUAUUAGUUUCAAGGGAAAUUAAUGUUGGAUAACCAUUUUUAUGUGAUUAAUCAUUUACCGCUAAAUAUUUCAAAAAUUGUGAAAAUUAUGAACCGGGCAUGACCUUAGACCUUAACUUGAAUCUCGAGAAUGGGAAAUGUAUCUCUUGUUUGACCCACGUGAAAGUGAAAAACAGAUUUGCUUGAGGGCAAGCAAAAGACAAGUGUGGGGAUGUGAUGCGUGAUCGAAUACCAGUGUUCUAAUAUGUUUAAGUUUAUGUUUUUACAUAGCUUUUAGUUUCGAAUAGCCUACUUUUGAUUGGAAUUGUGUUUUGCAGGUCUAACAGAGUUUAAGGAGCUAUUCGGAAGCUAUACGGAGCACCGGGAGCGAACGGGAUCAACCGGAGACAGGAAAUAUGAGAAAACAGGAAAGUGCACCCUACAGGGGGGAGGCGGCGACGCCCCAUGGUCGUCGCCAACACACCUGUGUCGUUAACAACACACAUGUGUCGUUAAAAAUGGCGUAGGCAGCAACAUAAGGCAUCAGUAGGAAACCCAAGUUUUGACAAGGCGCCGACGACACCUGCCCCUGGUGCCCAACGGGAAUUUUUGGUGUUUCGCAAUCUUUGACGAGUUAUAAUUCAUUUUUUGGGUCUUUUCAAAGGAGUUACGAGUUCUCUAGUUUGAAUACACAUAUUGGAGCCAAGAAUCAUCAUCACUAUUAUUCCCAAUCCAUUCCAAUCCAUCCAAUCAUCCGAAUUGCAACCUUCGACCCUAACCCUAGCCUACCAUCAUCUCACCAAUCAUCCACUCACCUCCAUCAUUUAUCCCAAACCCUAACCAUCAUCACCAUCACCAUCAAAGCUUCAAGAAGAUGUUCAAGAUCAAGAACUCAUCAUCCAUUGAUCGUGUUCAGUUCAUCAUGAGUGGCUAAUUCUCGUGGGUUUCACCCUGGUGUAUACUUUUGUAAGGAUUUUCUAGGGUUUGCUACUUGUUUAAUAUUUGGUUUGUGACAAUUUGAAUUGCAUUUGAAUCAUUAGAUAAUUGUCUUACGUUUGUAUUGAAUUUACGAAUUGUCGAGUGAGUUAUGAAAUUUUGACUUCGUGAAA